rnacentral:rRNA from 1 species
GAUGAACGCUAGCGAUAGGCUUAACACAUGCAAGUCGUGGGGCAUCAUGAUGUAGUAAUACAUUGAUGGCGACCGGCGCACGGGUGAGUAACGCGUAUUCAACCUACCCUCCACUCAAGUAUAGGCUUCCGAAAGGGAGAUUAAUCCUUGAUAUCGUCAUUCUCUCUCCUGUUAGAAUGAUAAAAGGACAUCGUUUCGGUAGAGGAUGGGGAUGCGUUCCAUUAGGUAGUAGGUGUUUUAACAGGCCACCUAGCCGAUGAUGGAUAGGGGUUCUGAGAGGAAUAUCCCCCACACUGGUACUGAGAUACGGACCAGACUCCUACGGCAGGCAGCACUGAGGAAUAUUGGUCAAUGGGGCGCAAGCCUGAACCAGCCCAUGUAGCGUGAAGGAUGACGGUCUUUUUGAUUUUAAAACUUC